GCACAGGUAGCGAAGUGGUCAAACGCGGCUGACUGUAGAUCAGCUGGCUUACGCCUUCGGGGGUUCGAAUCCCUCCCUGUGCA
rnacentral:tRNA from 1 species